rnacentral:rRNA from 1 species
CCUACGGGAGGCAGCAGUGGGGAAUAUUGGACAAUGGGCGCAAGCCUGAUCCAGCCAUGCCGCGUGUGUGAAGAAGGCUUUCGGGUUGUAAAGCACUUUCAGUGGGGAAGAAGGCCUGUCGGCGAAUACCCGGCAGGGACGACAUCACCCACAGAAGAAGCACCGGCUAACUCCGUGCCAGCAGCCGCGGUAAUACGGAGGGUGCGAGCGUUAAUCGGAAUGACUGGGCGUAAAGCGCGCGUAGGUGGCUUGAUAAGCCGGUUGUGAAAGCCCCGGGCUCAACCUGGGAACGGCAUCCGGAACUGUCAGGCUAGAGUGCAGGAGAGGAAGGUGGAAUUCCCGGUGUAGCGGUGAAAUGCGUAGAGAUCGGGAGGAAUACCAGUGGCGAAGGCGGCCUUCUGGACUGACACUGACACUGAGGUGCGAAAGCGUGGGUAGCAAACAGGAUUAGAUACCCUGGUAGUCCACGCCGUAAACGAUGUCGACCAGCCGUUGGGUUCCUUGAGAACUUGGUGGCGCAGUUAACGCGAUAAGUCGACCGCCUGGGGAGUACGGCCGCAAGGUUAAAACUCAAAUGAAUUGACGGGGGCCCGCACAAGCGGUGGAGCAUGUGGUUUAAUUCGAUGCAACGCGAAGAACCUUAC